rnacentral:rRNA from 1 species
CUUUAAUGGCUGGUGUUCUAACGUAGACCCGUGAACCGGGUUGCGGACAGUGUCUGGUGGGUAGUUUGACUGGGGCGGUCUCCUCCUAAAGCGUAACGGAGGAGCACGAAGGUUGGCUAAUCCUGGUCGGACAUCAGGAGGUUAGUGCAAUGGCAUAAGCCAGCUUGACUGCGAGCGUGACGGCGCGAGCAGGUGCGAAAGCAGGUCAUAGUGAUCCGGUGGUUCUGAAUGGAAGGGCCAUCGCUCAACGGAUAAAAGGUACUCCGGGGAUAACAGGCUGAUACCGCCCAAGAGUUCAUAUCGACGGCGGUGUUUGGCACCUCGAUGUCGGCUCAUCACAUCCUGGGGCUGAAGUAGGUCCCAAGGGUAUGGCUGUUCGCCAUUUAAAGUGGUACGCGAGCUGGGUUUAGAACGUCGUGAGACAGUUCGGUCCCUAUCUGCCGUGGGCGCUGGAGAACUGAGGGGGGCUGCUCCUAGUACGAGAGGACCGGAGUGGACGCAUCACUGGUGUUCGGGUUGUCAUGCCAAUGGCACUGCCCGGUAGCUAAAUGCGGAAGAGAUAAGUGCUGAAAGCAUCUAAGCACGAAACUUGCCCCGAGAUGAGUUCUCCCUGAGACUACAAGUCUCCUGAAGGAACGUUGAAGACGACGACGUUGAUAGGCCGGGUGUGUAAGCGCAGCGAUGCGUUGAGCUAACCGGUACUAAUGAACCGUGAGGCUUAACCUUACAACGCCGAAG